GACUGAACUCAGCAGAGAGUGAUUGAUUGACUAAGAUCCUUAUUAGUUCCCAGCAGGUGGGUUCUCACGGAGAAAACCCAUGCUGGUCAUCAGCACUCAGAGGCCAAAUUGCAAGUUCUCUGCUGGGUGACCAGAGAACAUGAGCCAGGGCAACUGGAUGUUCUUUCAGAGAAUUACUUUCCAGCUCCAGUUGCUUGAUGAAUUACCUUUCUCCACUGGAGGGAUAUUUUAGUCUGAAAAAUCAGGACAGGUCAUCUGAAGUCAGAUCACGCUCUCUUCAGGCAGUGAUAGAGGAAAUCUUUCAAAGUCUUAGUCUCCUGUGUUCCUUUCUCAAUAUUCCUUAUCCAUUGCCUUAUCUUCCAAAAGCCAUUGCCAUUAUGUGAUCUCAUGUUACAACUUCCCAGAUUACCACUUGUUCUACAUUAGCUACAUCUGUGACAGAGACUUCCCAGAAUACGGGCAAGGAGAGCCAUCUUCCAAUCACAAUGACUUAUGGCUUACGGCUCCAAGCCAUCAUGUUUUCAUUCUUGUAGCUUCAGUUUCCCAGAAUGGCAUUGCUUAACCUUGUUCUCCAAAGGAGGCAGCUAGAAGGUAAUGGAAAGAGACCGGACACCAAAACUGGAAGAACUGGAGGAGCUGAUCAUCCCUAUCUCCGAGUCACUUCCGCAACCUAUACAAUCCACCAUUGUGCUGAAGGGAGCCUGGGCUCCCCCUCCUAUUUCACACCCUCUCUGCCCUGCUGGACAAUAAGCGAAACCAAAGUAGCAACCAUGCUCUGAUCAUCAGUGAUCUCCACACCCAGCACAGCCCUAGCCCAUAUCAGAGGCUUCAUUAUUGAGUGAAUGAAUGAAGCAAUGAAGGAAGAGGAGGAAAGAAAUACUCAGUGAAUUCUACGUCAACUGAAGUCAACUCCUGCAGAACCCAACCAAGGACACCAAGAGAAAAGAGAUCAGAAGCAGGGUACAGGAAUUCCCAUCGUGGCUCAGUGGUUAAUGAACCCAACUAGUAUCCAUGAGGAUGUGGGUUCGAUCCCUGGCCUCAAUCAGUUGGUUAAGGAUCCGGCGUUGCUGUGAGCUGUAGUGUAGAUCACAGGCUCAGAUCAGAUCCCUCGUUGAUGUGGCUGUGGUGUAGGCCUGCAGCUACAGCUCCAAUUUGACCCCUAGCCUGGGAUACAUGCCUCCAGUGUGGCCCUAAAAAGACAGAGAAAAAAAAAAAGGCAAAUAAUGUGUCAGUACCGAGCCUCAUGAAAGUGUUUCAGAGAAAUCCCCACCCCACACCCAGGGUUUCUGGAACCACACUUUGAGAACUGCUGAAUUAAGAUAUAGAUCAUGUGGGAGUUCCUGCUGUGGCACAGUGGGUUAAGAAUCUAACUGCAGUGGCUUGGGUUACAGCUGAGGCUCAGAUUGUGUACAUGGCCUGGGAAUUUCCA
rnacentral:lncRNA from 9 species